rnacentral:rRNA from 1 species
CAAGGGAUGCCCUAGUACGGCGAGUGAGCGGCAAAAGCUCAAAUUUGAAAUCUGGCAUCUUUGAUGUCCGAGUUGUAAUUUGAAGAGGUUACUUUGGAGGCUGGCUCUUGUCUAUGUUCCUUGGAACAGGACGUCAUGGAGGGUGAGAAUCCCGUCUGGCGAGAGUUUCAGUUUUCAUGUAAAGUAGCAUUCGACGAGUCGAGUUGUUUGGGAAUGCAGCUCUAAGUGGGUGGUAAAUUCCAUCUAAAGCUAAAUAUUGGCGAGAGACCGAUAGCGAACAAGUACAGUGAUGGAAAGAUGAAAAGAACUUUGAAAAGAGAGUGAAAAAGUACGUGAAAUUGUUGAAAGGGAAGGGCAUUUGAUCAGACAUGGUGUUUCGUGCUUCUUGCUCCUUGUGGGCGGGGAGACUCACACGGUUCACUGGGCCAACAUCAGUUUUGGCAGCAGGAUAAAACUUUGGGAACGUAGCUUUCUUCGGGAAGUGUUAUAGCCCUUGGCAAUACUGCUAGCCGGGAUUGAGGACUGCGCAUUAUGCAAGGAUGUUGGCUUAAUGGUUAAAUGCCGCCCGUCUUGAACACGGACCA